rfam:Selenomonas sputigena ATCC 35185, complete genome.
CGCGGGAUGGAGCAGUUGGUAGCUCGUCGGGCUCAUAACCCGAAGGUCAGAGGUUCAAGUCCUCUUCCCGCAA